rnacentral:lncRNA from 1 species
GCUUUUUCUUUGACAGCCUCAGACUCAGGGCUGGGACCCUUGGGACUCAAAAGAGAGAAAAGGUGGAGAAAAGAGAAAGCUACUAUUUUCUUCAUUUUGCCCCUGCUAACAUCCAAUGCACUUAGGAGCCUCGAUGUCUGCUCUCCAAGAGUGGAGAGAGGAUGCCAGACAGAUAUUUGAGCAGAACAAAGAGAGCCAACAGGAUGAAGGCAUUCCCUGGCUGGUUGGACAAGCAACUGAAGAACAGGAACAGAAGUGAAUGAAAAGAGAAGAUGCUGUGUUUGUGUUUUCUCUUGGUUAGAAUGCUGUGAGUCAGGACCUUAGCUGCUGGGUGUCCUGGGACUGCCUUCGAUGAAGAACCUGAGGCUCACCUUGCUUAAGUGACUUGAGCAGCUUCACGCAUCUUUCUGACAUUCCAGCAAUACCGGAGCAUUGACAGUUGAUAAUAGCUCUAUGUGCUACCUCUCCAAGAAACAAAUUUGCAUUUUAACCUGCCCCUUCAAUGGCUGAACUUCAAAGGGUCACUGAUGAAUGCCACAGCAGAGAAAACUGCAAAUUGGAACAGCAGAGCUGUGCCUCUGGCCAUUUCCUGGAACUACAGAGGAGCAACUUGCCCCGGUUUCCAGUGGGUGAUGUUCCUCUUCUGCCACAGUCCCUGGCGAUGUUGAUGUGAUUGCCAUCAGAGCUCAGAAGCACAGAGCAGAAUCAUCCCCUGGAGGAGGAUUCCCUUCAGUGUAAGAAGUUCUUACAGAAUUAAUCCUCAAAGACUGUGGGUGGACUCUGCCAGGUUUUUCCCCGGGUGUACCAGAAGAGAGGAAGAGCCCUCAAAUACAGGAAAGUGCUCUUUUCAGUGACAGUAGUUCUUUUGGGCCCUGUGGCUAAGUGUGCUCCCACCCCAGCAGUAAGAUCACAGCUAAUCCUGAGAGGCAAGAGCUCACACCAGGCUACUGAAAGAAAAAGUGUCCUUUGUGGAUUGCAAGAGGAACUGGGACACACUGCUGGAAAUGAAGUGGCAGGUCAUAAACUAUCAUAAACUCAGGAGGAGAGGUGUUCCUUUUUGAGACACUCAUCACAACUAGAGAGAAUGCAGCUAAGAAAAUGCAGUCUUUAGGGGGACCUGGACUGUUGAAGUAUUUGAGCUAUUCGGAGGAAAUAGAAACUUGGAAGAGAUCUUUGUUCCACUAUUAUUUGGCAGCCCCUUACCCGCAGCUGCCAUUACUCCAGAUUCUCUCUGAUGAUCCUGCAUCAGGAGAAUGAGUUGACUGGGCACCACUGGGAAAUGUGGGCAGCUCCAGGCUGAACUAGAGAAGGGGCAUGUCAAAGGUCACUUAUUUGUGGCUUGACCCUUUGGAGGCCAGAUGUAAGAAUCAAUUUCUCACAGGUCCCAUGCUAACGCUUUUCAUAUUUAUUUCCAUCUGAGACUCACUUAGGCUAGGCAAAUAUCCCAUGGGUCUGUACCUCUCCAGUGCUUUCUUGCUCAUGUAAAAUUAGCUCAUUGGAAUGAAUAAAGAGAAUGGUAUUACUUUGGCUCGAA